AAAAGAAAAGGAUACAGUAGAACCGAUAGGACGAAGGAAACAGACAGAGGCCUCAGUGUUGGAGCCAUCAGCUUGUGUUAAGUGGAUUGUGACGGGAGCCAGACGGACUUUGAUUCCCUCAGGUGAUUUUUCCGGUCUUCCAGCUCUCACACCAUCAGCCUAAUGAAGUGAAUUCUACAGUGUGGCUGAAACUGAUGGCUCUAUCUCCUCUGUCACUGGAAAUUUGUUCCUGGCUUUCUGAAGAUGAAUUCGACCCGCACGACUUCCACAUUUAGAUAUGCUCUGGAAUCUUCUGCUCGAGCGAGUGGACUAAUGCAUCUCCGUGGAAACGCUCCCUCGCAGAUUGAUCAGGCAUUACAAUAUCUGCUCUCUCCACCAUCACAGUCAGAGAGCCGAAGAUUCGACUCAUCUCAAGCACGGGGAAAAUUGGCAGUGAAGAGCAUCUUAAGUUAGUGUCAGUGUUAGUGAGAUGAUGCGUAGUAGACCAUAGACAAACGCCCCUAUUCUGCAUUCAGAUAAAGGCUGAAUUGCGAUUCCCAGUUCAUUUAGUUCUUCUCAUAAGUAUGUUACUUGAGUAUAAAUACUGUGCCGAGUGUGCUAUUACAAACCAAUAUCUGUGGAACAGUGGAAAUCUGACCUCAAAUAUUAAAAAGUAUGGGAAGUGGUGGGAGGCUGGAAUAACUUCCCCCCAAAAUCACCAGCAAUCAAUGUACAGCAGAUAUUCAGGAAGGAAUUACAAACACGCAAGCCAGAAGCAUGUUGGAGAGCGUCUACCAUUCUGGCCUCCAGGGCUGUUUAUGGAAAUGCAGAAUUUAAUAAGCUCUUCUCGACACCUUGUCACUGACGUGCUUGUGUGUGUGUGUGUGUAUGAACUUGCAUUAGCAAUGCUCUGUUGAAUAAGUCCAUUAUGACAGAAUGGAGUGACCUGAGUGUGCACUGUCUGCAUUCUUUGAAUACUACAGCAUUAUUUGCAUUUCACUUAAGUUGUGUCUCACCACAUGACUGUACACUCACAGACAAAAAGGACAAAAGCUGUGA